rnacentral:lncRNA from 1 species
CAGAUGUGAAACUCAGCAGGAUGUGAAACCAGUCAAGAAUUUGGAAGCAUUAUCUUAUUCUUGGGAAUUCUUAGAGAGGUUAACGGAAUGAAGACCCAGGCUCUAUUCCUGGUCCACAAAGUACGUUACAAACGGAUAUCAAAUGCUUGUAAGUGUUGUAAGUGUUCAUUAAGGAAUAUUUAGGAAUACUUUUCAUCUGAGAUAUCAAAGAGAAAAAUGUUUGAUGUUGUGCAGAGAUCUUCCUGAACUUUGGACAGCAGAAUUCAGGCAUCAUCAGACUGCAUUUGAAUUACCUCUGAAAUAACAGUAGAGGUUAAAUUGCCGUUUUCAGCUGACUCAUCACGUUCAAAGCUGUGAUUCUGCUGAUGAAACCUUUGUAUUUAAGUGAAUGUAUCAUUAGAAGCAGAAACUACUGUAGCCUCAAACUUCCUCAUUUGAAGCAGACCUGAAGCAGAAAGAUAUGCAUUGACUGAACUGUUCUUGAAACAUUACCACUGCACUGGUAAUUUAUUCUGACUUUUUCUUGUUUUUGUUUUUGUUUUUUAAUUUUCCUUGUUUUCAAGUCCUCAGUCUGUUUUUCCUCAGUUGAUUAUGAAUUCCUGCCAAAUUCAACA